UCUUAGCCCCGAUUGCAGUGGAAAUCCUUAUAGCCCGGGGUUCGGGCUAUAAGAUUGCAACGUAAAGCGGGACUUUUC
rnacentral:sRNA from 1 species